CCCUUAGACGUUCUGGGCUGCACGCGCGCUACAAUGAUGCACUCAACGAGUUCUUACCUUGUCUGAAGGGACUGGGUACUCUUUUGAAAGUGCAUCGUAAUGGGGAUAGACUAUUGUAAUUAUUAGUCUUCAACGAGGAAUUCCUUGUAAGCGUGAGUCAUCAGCUCACGCUGAAUACGUCCCUGCCCUUUGUACACACCGCCCGUCGCUCCUACCGAUUGAGUGGUCCGGUGAACUAUUCGGAGUUGCUGGCGAGGUUUACCUCGUCCAGUUGACAAAGUUUCGUAAACCUUAUCACUUAGAGGAAGGAGAAGUCGUAACA
rnacentral:rRNA from 1 species